rnacentral:rRNA from 1 species
GAUGAACGCUGGCGGCAUGCCUAACACAUGCAAGUCGAUCGGUAAGGCUCUUCGGAGUACACGAGAGGCGGACGGCUGAGUAACGCGUAGGAACACACCCUGCAGUGAGGGAUAAGACACCGAAAGGUGUUCUAAUACCGCAUACGGUCUUCGGAUUAAAGCAUUUAUGCGCUGAAGGAGUGGCCUGCGUCAUAUUAGAUAGUUGGUGAGGUAAUGGCUCACCAAGUCGAUGAUGUGUAGCUGGUCUGAGAGGAUGAUCAGCCAGACUGGAACUGAGACACGGUCCAGACUCCUACGGGAGGCAGCAGUGAGGAAUAUGUCACAAUGAGCGAAAGCUUGAUGGAGCAAUGCCGCGUGCAGGAUGAAGGCCCUCGGGUUGUAAACUGCUUUUAUAAGAGAAGAUUAUGACGGUAACUUAUGAAUAAGGGACGGCUAACUACGU